rnacentral:rRNA from 1 species
GACGAACGCUGGCGGCGUGCUUAACACAUGCAAGUCGAGCGGUAAGGCCCUUUCGGGGGUACACGAGCGGCGAACGGGUGAGUAACACGUGGGUGACCUGCCCUCAGCUCUGGGAUAAGCCUGGGAAACCGGGUCUAAUACUGGAUAUGACUCCAUGACGCAUGUUGGUGGGGUGGAAAGCCUUGUGCGGCUGAGGAUGGGCCCGCGGCCUAUCAGCUUGUUGGUGGGGUGAGGCCUACCAAGGCGACGACGGGUAGCCGGCCUGAGAGGGCGACCGGCCACACUGGGACUGAGACACGGCCCAGACUCCUACGGGAGGCAGCAGUGGGGAAUCUUGCGCAAUGGGCGAAAGCCUGACGCAGCGACG